AUGGGACAAUGGUUUCAGACUCUCUGCAAACGGAGACACUUCGAAUCUACUCCAAAGGAUAUCUUCAGGCGAAGCAAACCUGGGGUGCUGAGAAGCAGACCGUGGGAUGAGAAGAGCCCAUGGUUCCCUUAUUAUUAUCGUUCAGUAUUACUUUUCAUUACACUGCGUAUCCUACUUAAUUCAUGGUAUACCGGAUCAGGAUUGUUAUCAGCCAAGUUCUUGCAAUUUUCAGAUAAGGAUGGGCACAAGAAACUGAUGAGGAUUAUUACAGCAGAAUCUCCAGGCCUAUUGAAUUAUUUUGGUCUAGAGGCCCUUAAAAGCUUUUGUGGCACAGAAAUUGCAGGAUCACUGCAGUUAAGCCAAGGAUCACGCAUGGUCGAUAGAAGAGGCAUCUGGGUGCAAGAGGCAGGGUUGGCGGCGAGCUUGAUCGGCGGCCACAGAGAGUGGCGCUGGGUGGGAGGGAGCCAACUGUGA
rnacentral:rRNA from 1 species